GGCGCCGCCGCCGGAAAAACUUCCUUGCUCCGAUUCAAAAAAUUUUUACGUUUUUAAACAUCCUUUUUCGUGCUAUUCAUGAAUCCGAGCUUGGUUUUUUGAAAAAGAUUUUCAACCGGAGUAGAUCUAAGUUUGAAGUUGCGGUUUUGAAUGAAGUUUUUCUUUGUUCUUUGUGCUUUUUGGCUACGUGCUUCUAGAAUCCUACAUGUUUAUACUUGAUUCUCCUUUUUAUCCAUUUUUUGCGAAAAAAAGGAAGUUUGAGUUUUACCUGUGGUUUUCUUGGUGGUUCCGAUCCGGAUCUUCAAGGAAAGCUUGAUUUUAGUCUUGUUCCGUUGAUUCUGGUUUGGUUCCCUGCUGUUCUGAUCCGCUCUUCUUCUUCACAGGUUCGGUAUAUGGAUUUUCGUCCCUCUUCUUCGUCUCCGGGAAAGCCUCUGCGAUCGUGCUUGAGUUCGCCGCUUUCAGUGGUGGACUCGCACUCGAAUUGCAGAGCAACGAUUCAAUGAUGAUGAUUCCUUGGCGAAUCUCUGAGAAUCGUGGAAAAUUCAAUGAAUUUCUUGAUGAUUUUGUGAUUCUGGUGAUUUAGAGAGAAAAAUUGAUUCUGUUUUUCUUCUUUGGUGAAGUGGCGUGUGAUUAAUGGCUUUGAAUCUGACUCACUGUUUAUAUAGUUGACAUGUGUACACUUGAGCCAAUGGAACUGUGACAUCUGGAUUUGUAUGGGAGGGGCACGGCCUUGGACUUAAAAUGGACUUUGGACCUUUUUGCAAAAAUAAGAAUUUUAAGGACUAAACUGCAAAAUUAAAAAAACUUGAAAUGAAAUAAACAAAAAAACAGUUUGGACAAAAAUGCAAUUUU
rnacentral:lncRNA from 1 species